rnacentral:rRNA from 1 species
AGACUUUGAGAGAGAGUUCAAGAGUACGUGAAACUGCUCAGAGGCAAACGAGUGGGCCCUCGAAAUCCUCUUGCGGGGGGAUUCAGUCGUGGCUUCGACAUGCGAUGCAGCGCUUUCCUAGACGUCCUCGAACGACGCCNGUGCAGAGUCGCAGUCUCGCGGGGCCGCGACGCACUUCCUCCCGCACUCUGGACGCCGCAGCCGGUCGGGCAGCAGCGCGAGUCGGCCAUGAGGACCCGCAACGGCNGGUGGCGGGGGUGCCGUCCAGCACGGUCACCUCCGAUUCUAGCCGGCGUGGUUCGUGGCGCGACGCCCGACCGAGGAACGAGUUCGCCGRACGGCGGACGAGCCGUGCACUCGCGCCAUUAGCGAGCGGGGCGUGCGCGACAGGUGGUUCUCGUCGAGAGGGUGUUCACCGCUCAACGGUGGCCCUUCCUUCGAGUCCUCCAGURGUCGUGCCGUCGACCGCGGCGUGCGGAUUACGGCUUGCGGCGAGUAGGUCGGUCACCCACUCGACCCGUCUUGAAACACGGACCAAGGAGUCUAACAUGUGCGCGAGUCACGGGGUCUUGUUCAGGCCCAGAGGCGCAAUGAAAGUGAAGGAAUUCGCAUGGAUUCCGAGUUGGGAUCCCGGACCU